rnacentral:rRNA from 1 species
GAUGAACGCUGGCGGCGUGCCUAAUACAUGCAAGUCGAGCGAACAGACGAGGAGCUUGCUCCUCUGACGUUAGCGGCGGACGGGUGAGUAACACGUGGAUAACCUACCUAUAAGACUGGGAUAACUUCGGGAAACCGGAGCUAAUACCGGAUAAUAUAUUGAACCGCAUGGUUCAAUAGUGAAAGACGGUUUUGCUGUCACUUAUAGAUGUAUCCGCGCCGCAUUAGCUAGUUGGUAAGGUAACGGCUUACCAAGGCAACGAUGCGUAGCCGACCUGAGAGGGUGAUCGGCCAAACUGGAACUGAGACACGGUCCAGACGACUACGGGAGGAAGCAGUAGGGAAUAUUCCGCAAUGGGCGAAAGCGUGACGGAGCAAAGCCGCGUGAGUGAUGAAGGUCUUCGGAUCGUAAAACUCUGUUAUUAGGGAAGAACAAAUGUGUAAGUAACUAUGCACGUCUUGACGGUAACUAAUCAGAAAGCCACGGCUAACUACGUG